GGUUGCAACCGGUCCUCUGGAGCAACAGGAAAAUGGAUUACUCAAAUUUUGAAGUUUCCAAAUCAAAAAUGACCAUCUACUGGACAGAAUUAUGAGCUGGGGCACCAGUCUGGCCUUUGGAAAAUGAAGGGACUCCAGAGGCCACAGGCUAGGGCUUAGCUGAUUCUAGAACUCAACAGUAUCUGCGUCACCAUCGUUAGAAGCAUCCAGAAAGCAGAGCAGAGCUUCUGCUGGGCUUGUUUCCGUGGCAACAGCUUCACUGGCCUGUCUCGGGGAAACGAAAGGAGGAAGGGCAUGGAAGCUGCACAAGAAAACCAAUGCCCUCGACAGGGCUUAACUAUCCUAAAGAAGUGCAAUGCUACAUUCAAAGCGUGUUAGCAGUGUCCCUUCCGUGGGAAGUGAAGCCACAAGGAGACGAGCCUCCACGCAUCACGGAGCAUCACGGAGCAAGGGCCCUGCGCACCUGUGCAAAAACA